rnacentral:lncRNA from 1 species
GGCGGCCUCCUUCCUAGCAUUGUUCAUCGUCUUGAUGUUGGCGAUGAGCUGGUGUCCAAUCCGCAAGAACGAUCAGGGAGUCAAUAUAAAAGCUGAGGAAUAAGCUAAGUAAAGAGGCGAGAAGAAGAAAGGAGUAAAUUGACCUACCUCAAGAAAGGACCCCAGAGAGUCCCAGACCUGCUGCUCAGGAUCUACGUGAAUGAUCCUGUGGACGACCUCGGGCAGGAUGCACCCAUUGACCAAUCUCUUUAUUAGAUCCCUAUUGUUGAAGGGAUUCUCCUCCGGAUCUUCUUCGGAGCCAUCGGCCCCCUCGAUGGCAGCCCUGCUGCUGCGGCUCUUAUGGGCCAAUGUCUUCUUUCGCCUUCUCCGUUCGGCCCCUGGUGCCUCCUCAGGCCGAACCUCUAGAGCAG